rnacentral:rRNA from 1 species
UAGAAUUAAAAUGCAACUAAGCUGUCAUAAGCUCAAGGUGUACUUAAGGCCGCCUUUAAAACGAUUCUAGCAUUGUCUGACUAAUUUAACUCCACGAAAGCUAGGGCACAAACUGGGAUUAGAUACCCCAUUAUGCCUAGCCCUAAAUCUUGAUGUUUACCACACCAAAGCAUCCGCCUGAGAACUACGAGCACAAACGCUUAAAACUCUAAGGACUUGGCGGUGCCCCAAACCCACCUAGAGGAGCCUGUUCUAUAAUCGAUAACCCACGAUUCACCCAACCACCCCUUGCCAGUGCAGCCUACAUACCGCCGUCGCCAGCCCACCUCCUUUGAGAGCACCACAGUGGGCAUAAUAGCCUAACCCGCUAGUAAGACAGGUCAAGGUAUAGCCUAUGGGGCGGAAGAAAUGGGCUACAUUUUCUACGAUAGAAAACUAACGAAAGAGGACAUGAAAUAGUCCCCGGAAGGCGGAUUUAGCAGUAAAGCAGGACAAUAGAGCCCCCUUUAAGCUGGCCCUGGGGUACGUACAUACCGCCCGUCACCCUCC